AUUUUACGUUGAUGCGAGAGUCCUACCCCUACUUAUUUGAGGCUCAGAUUUGAGGUAUGAUUUUACGUUUCGAGGACGAAAUUUUUUGUAGUAGGGGAGGAUGUAGUGUCCCUAGUGUUUAGUGGUCUGAGAGACUUCAGCAUCUGUGGCUUGUCAGCACGGCUGGUGGGUGUCGAGACAAGUUAGAGUCGUUUUGGCGCGAAAUGGACGCAAAACGGACUCAGCGCGAUGCGAGAUGAGAGUUCUGACACUGAAAUCUGCAAAGUGUAGGAUUUCAGUGUGAAGUAU
rnacentral:lncRNA from 1 species